AGAGUUUGAUCAUGGCUCAGAUUGAACGCUGGCGGCAGGCUUAACACAUGCAAGUCGAACGGUAACGGGUUGAAAGCUUGCUUUCAAUGCUGACGAGUGGCGGGCGGGUGAGUAAGGCUUGGGGAUUUGGCUUUUGGAGGGGGAUAACCAUUGGAAACGAUGGCUAAUACCGCAUAGAAUCGAGAGAUGAAAGGGGUGGGGAACCACUUGCCAAGGGAUGAACCCAAGUGAGAUUAGGUAGUUGGUGGGGUAAGGGCCUACCAAGCCGACGAUCUCUAGCUGGUCUGAGAGGAUGGCCAGCCACACUGGGACUGAGACACGGCCCAGACUCCUACGGGAGGCAGCAGUGGGGAAUAUUGCGCAAUGGGGGGAACCCUGACGCAGCCAUGCCGCGUGAAUGAAGAAGGCCUUCGGGUUGUAAAGUUCUUUCGGUGGUGAGGAAGGUUAGGAUGUUAAUAGCAUACUGAUUUGACGUUAGCCACAGAAGAAGCACCGG
rnacentral:rRNA from 1 species